UGUACGCUAACAUAGUACUUGAACAAAGCUGUAGAUGCACAGUAUUACGUUCCUGAUUGGUUAAUGCUUAAAUACGUCAAACCACGUGACAUUUUCCCGCGUUUCUCUAGAGUAUGUAGUUUCACAUAUAAAACUUAAGCGAAAGCAUUAGACGCGCAUUGACGCUACUUAUGACAAAAGGCGAUAAUAGAUGUGUGUUUUAUUUAAUUACCCUGCUGACUCCAUUGCUAGAGUACUCGAGGAUAAAAGCACGUGACUCACGUAGAAAAAGGAAGACGAGCGGUGGGGAGGAACGACCAUUAAGUAUUAUAUGGCGGGAAACUGCCCAAAAUCGGCGACAAUGGUUGCUUUUUUGCUUACCUUGCUCGCAGAAUUCAUGUCAGUUUGUUGUUAUGCUGGUACUUCACCAUCAGCGGGACAAACAUUCGUACGGUAUUGCCAUCUCGCGUCGUUCUCAGAAUCCUUUCCUUUAAACAAUUAUAACCUCAACUUGUUUUGACUGCUUAUCCUUUCUUUUUUCUCAUCAUCGAACGAACGAAGAUUUUUGCCUUUAACUGAAAUAAUCAUGUUGAUUCUCGACAUAUUAUACAAGAACUAAUUACGAAAACAUAAUAUAGUAAUUUCGAUAUUCGCGUGAUUACUUAUCAUUCGUCACUACAGUGGUGGACUAUACUAUACUUUUACUAUACUUCUAUUAUAUUGUUGGAAUGAAACUGACUUUUCGAAUUAACUUGCCGAUAUGUAUACAUAUCGCUGAUUCAUUUUGAUUUAUAAAUAUAAAAAAAAAACACCAAUGUGUAUGAGAAUAAUGAGAUUUAUUUAAAAAUUACAUUUAAUCAUACAGAAUAGAAAAUAGGAUGGGUGAAAGAAUAUGUGAAAGAAAAAUUUCCAAAUAUUAGAUCUUUGCUUUCCAAAUACAUAGUAUGUAUAUCUCAAAGGUGGCUGCUAUUUAUAAUAAAAAAAAAAAAAAAGAAUACAAUAUAUCUCACUGCCCAGUGCAAGGCAAAAGAAUCUUCCAAAUUUCAAAGUCUUCUUCUAUAAAUAUAACAUUUUAAGUGAUAUUAUUUAAACCGAUAUUUAAGAAUAAUUACAUACUGUUUAUAACAAAGAAAAUAUUCUAUCUCGCAUAUUUGUAAUAAUAAAAUAUAUUUAAAAAACAG
rnacentral:misc_RNA from 1 species